GUGCCAGCCGCCGCGGUAAUACGGAGGGGGUUAGCGUUGUUCUGAAUUACUGGGCGUAAAGCGCACGUAGGCGGAUCAGAAAGUUGGGGGUGAAAUCCCAGGGCUCAACCCUGGAACUGCCUCCAAAACUCCCGGUCUUGAGUUCGAGAGAGGUGAGUGGAACUCCGAGUGUAGAGGUGAAAUUCGUAGAUAUUCGGAAGAACACCAGUGGCGAAGGCGGCUCACUGGCUCGAUACUGACGCUGAGGUGCGAAAGUGUGGGGAGCAAACAGGAUUAGAAACCCGUGUAGUCC
rnacentral:rRNA from 1 species